AAGCGUGAGGUCGGAAGUUCAAGUCUUCCCAGGCCCACCACACUCAUCGAGUGAGCAUUCGUCUUCUGGUUACGGGGCCAUAGCUCAGCUGGGAGAGCGCGUGCUUUGCAAGCAUGAGGUCGUCGGUUCGAUCCCGUCUGGCUCCACCAGAUGGUUUGAUCACCGAGAUCUUGUACCGUCGUCCGCGAAACAUCACUUCGCAUCCUGCUAGUCUGGAUAGACAGCAAGAUGCGUGUUUUCUGACAUCGUAAAGAGGAGAUCGAUCCGAGUUGGGUCGUGCAGCAGAUUGUUGCGCGAAUCCUUCAUUAUCUCCGGAUCAUUUUCGGCGCUCGACGCUGACCGCAAGGUUGGCUGCGAGUUGUAAAAUGAUCCUUUUAGCGAAGCUUGACCGCCUCGCUAUCGGAACGAUCUUACGAAGCAAGCUGGUCUUUCUAGUCAAUGUCCGGCUGCAGAUAGCGUUCAUCGAGGGCGCGUGCCGCAAGGCAAUUCUGCAGACAACAUUCUGCCGAGUGUGUGGACAUUGAUAAUGAGAGC
rnacentral:tRNA from 1 species